UCCGCGUUUCUAGCAGAACACAAAAGCAGACGACACGUCAACCGGGUAGUAGCAGAAAUACCUUUUAAAUCAAUUACACAAUGAGCACGUGAGUUACAUAUUUUUCCUCAAGUUUUCUUGCAUUUAACAAUUAAUUAUUUUCCUCAUUAUAAAGUGAACAACGGACUAUUAAUAAUUAUAUACCGUCUAAAAAGUUAUUAGUCAUUCUAACUAUAAUGUGACAUUAAUUUUCUUUUGUGUCAAUGAUUUCGGUGUUUUGAGUUUACAAUUUUGAAAUUGUCUGAGUUUAGCACUUUAUGUACUAAAAGUUUAUAAAUUAUAAAAUAAACAAUGCUUCACGACGAUACAAAAUCUUUAAAUGAAUAUCAUGCGAGAAAUAUUUUUCUAUCUUCUAUGAUUUCUGGGGCAUUUGCGGGAACAAUAUGCGACUUAGUAUUUUUUCCAAUAGAUACUUUGAAAACAAGAUUGCAAAGUCAACAUGGCUUUAUGAAAUCAGGAGGAUUUACACGCCUUUAUCAGGGAAUUAUACCUGUUAUGGUAGGAUCUGCACCAUCAGCUUCAAUUUUUUUUAUAACUUAUGAAGGUAUAAAGGAAUUUUUACAACCAAAUGUUCCCUAUAAAUAUCACUGGAUGGUGCAUAUGGGAGCUGCGGCCACUGGUGAAAUGGCUGCUUGUUUAAUUAGAGUACCUGUCGAAGUAAUUAAGCAAAGAAGACAAGCUUUAUUGAAAGAUAAGAUAAGUUCGUUAGGUUUGAAAACACUUUAUCGAGGAUAUGGCACAACGGUUCUUCGUGAUAUGCCAUUUGGUUUUACUCAAAUGCCCUUAUGGGAGUAUUUUAAGCUUCGCUAUAAGCGAUAUAUGAAGCGAGAAUGCACUCCUUUGGAAGGUGCUAUUUGUGGAGCAGCAUCUGUGGCUAUUUCCGCGACUGUCACAACACCAUUAGAUGUCGCAAAAACAAGAAUUAUGUUAGCAAGCACAAAUGCCGAUAAAGCGGAAGUGAAAAUUACAGCAAUGUUUCGAGAAAUUUAUCGUGAAAAUGGAGUUAGAGGAUUGUUUGCGGGUUUCUAUCCAAGAGUUUGUGGUUAUACGGUUGGAGCUAUUUUAUUUUUUGGAAUAUACGAACAAGCUAAACAAAGUUGUCAGACAAUAUUUCCAUAUACAACAUCUUCUCAAUGAAAAUUAUACAUAAUAGAAAAAAGAGAACAAUCAGUGACAGUUAACUGAUUUUCUUGUCCUAGUGAAUGGAAUUUGCAUUUUUGUACAAAAGAUAGAAAGAAUUUAUUUGGAAUCCAAAAAAUUAAAUUUUUUAUGUUCCAAAACGCAACUUUUUAUGGAAAUUCUGAUUGUGAUUUUUCCUAUUUACAAUAAUCGAAGAAUCUUCAAAUAUCAUUCGUCGGCACUUUUAUGGUAAAUAUGUACCUACUGCAUUCACAAUUAUUUCUACAUUCAAUCAGUUUUUCUUCGAUUUUUAUUA